rnacentral:lncRNA from 1 species
GGCAUAUGUUAGAAUCUAGAGCUACUUUCUCACUGUAACUGUCGGUGCUGGGUAGGUGCAUGAGUUUUAUUAACUUUAACUCUUCUAUAGGUAAAUACAAGUGAAGUAAUAAAUGCAUUUAUAUAUUGCUAUCUCUGUUAAAGCAGAUAAAUUUUGAGACUUUGUAUGGUAUCGCAAGUGAACUACAAAUUGUCUUGCAAUAGGAUAUGCUGCUAGAUGUUAGCAAGUAGAUCUAGUUUACCAACAACAUAAAACAAUCAUGUGUGAGUUCCCAUUAGAGUGUGUGUGAGGGGGUGAAGCUACGGGUUAGCUACUGAAAGCUAAAAUGUAUUUGUAAUAGAAACAGAAUACAGAAUUGGAUAUAAUAAUUUAAUUCCUGAUCUGCUGAAAGUGUUCAUGGAGCUGGCUGACUUGUUCUUAUAGUUCAAGAGGACACUGCCUGUGCUAUAGAAUUGUAAACUCCUGGCUCAACUGACUUCCGUGGAACUCACUUUAUUCUGUGUUUCAAGUAUCAGACUACUGAAGCAAAGAAGUACUUGAAAUGCUUGAGAGACUCUCAGAAAUUUGAGUGAUGUAUGGGGAGUGAAGGAGAGAUACUGUCUCAAUUGGCCUAUGCUAAGAUCUUUGGCAGAGUCAAAAAUUCCAUUGUUCUUGCGAAGAACAGAUCUGCCUCAGAUUUCAUGGAGUGCAGAAGAACAGAGAACCCUGAUGUGAUGUAAAUUGACCCAACAGCUGCUGAAUGUUGAAUUCUAACAAUACUUUAAAGAGCUGAAAUUGACUGAAUUCUUCUGGGAUGUUAAUAUUAAAACUGUAUGUAGGAUAAGCUAUGACAGGACUUGGCCACUGAAAAAUUAUAAGGAAUUUGAGAUAAUUUAGAAUUACAGAAUAAACUGUAGUUUUUAGAGGGGUGCA